rnacentral:rRNA from 1 species
GACAGAGGGGGCAGGCGUUGUCCGGAGUUACUGGGCGUAAAGGGCGCGGAGGCGGCCUGCGGCGUCGGCGCUGAAAGCGCCCAGCUUAACGGGGCGAGGCGUGCCGUUACGCGCAGGCUCGAUGCGAGCAGAGGGUGGUGGAAUUCCGGGUGGAGCGGUGAAAUGCGUAGAGAUGCGGAGGAACGCCAGGGGGGAAGCCGGCCUCCUGGGCUCGUCCUGACGCUCCGGCGCGACAGCGUGGGGAGCAAACCGG